AUGCAGGCAGUGGAGAGUACACGGGAGGUGUGGGUAGGGGUGAAAACGCUGCCGGGAGCGUACUGCUGCUGCCGUUAUAUGGUUGGCAUGAGUGCGGUAUUGGUGGAUUGGCAUGAGUGCGGUAUUGGUGGACUAUUAGAUCAUCUUGGACAUUACUACUUGGAUUCUAGGUUGGAGGAGUCCCUAGCCUUGGCGACAGGUAGCGACGUGCACUUGGGCGCUUGGUGUCCUUGGGUAAGUUCGGGGCCGGUGCCCAAGCUUGCAGCUAUGGCGACAACUUGCAUGGGAGCAGAUGAUUAUGGUUGGCAUGAGUGCGGUAUUGGUGGACUAUUAGAUCAUCUUGGACAUUACUACUUGGAUUCUAGGUUGAAGGUAUAUAUGAUUGGCAUGAGUGUGGUAUUGGUGAGCUAUUGGAUCAUCUUGGAUAUCACUACUUGGAUUCUAGCGAGCAAGAGGGAAUCGCCUCGAGCCCCUCCCUUCUCAUCUCUCCCACGCAACCUCCAUGGUGGGCGGCUAGCUGGGGUUGCCGCCGCCGCCGCCCCCGCCCCAUCGGCCCAUCCUUGUUCAUCCUACACCGGCCACCGGAGAAGGGGCGUUCCUCAGAUCCUCUUCUCCCCAAACCUUCUCGUCUUCGUGUUCCACCCGUCCUCCAUGAUGGCUGUAGACGGGGCGGGGAAGGGGAUGUCAUCGAGGUGCCGUUCGGUGCCGUUCGGGCGGCGAGUUGCAGAGGAGGGGCGCGGGCAAGAGGAUGGCAUCGAGGGUUCUUGUGAAUCGUGUUGGUCGUUCUGGGGCGUUGGAGUGGGCCAAAUACCUGACGACGGGAAGGGCAACCUGGUGCAUGUAGCUCCCGCUUGCGCAGGGUCCAGGGAAGGGUCCGACCACUUUGGGUCUAUAAUUCAUCAUGUAAUAAAAAAGAGCCUUUGUGAUACAGAACAUGAUUUAAUUAUCUUUUACAACUCCCAUUUGGAUUCGUUCAGUGUCCACAGCUCUAGACAUCGAUCUCAUCUACCUCAUCUGUAUGAACAAGUUGGCAUGGAGCAGUCUGUUCUAAAAAUAAUAAAGAAGCUGAGAGAUCGACUGUUUGAGAAGCGGGUUCAGGAGAUCAAAGCCAACAACAACCUAGGCUUUGAAAAAGAUGUUAUGCCCUUGUUGUGCGUGUGCUAUAUUCAAGCCAAAGAUAUGAACUGGAGUGCAUAUGCAUGCAGGGGAGUGCAUCGGGGCAUCGGGCGGUCGUAUGAGAAGAAGUGCGUUCAGCUGAGGACCCAUGAUGCCAACGGUGUAGAGCCGUUCACCAUCGAGAGGAUCAGGGCUGCCAUUAGGACCUUCGAGGCGAAGCUCAACAUCUCCGCCGCCUUUCUCGACGAAAUCUCCCAAAGGCUCAUUGCCGCUUGCGAUAACUCAUAG
rnacentral:rRNA from 1 species